rnacentral:rRNA from 1 species
GACGAACGCUGGCGGCGUGCCUAACACAUGCAAGUCGAACGGGGAGUUACUUGUAACUCCUAGUGGCGAACGGGUGAGUAACGCGUAGACAACCUGCCUCUAAAUUGGGGACAACACCGCGAAAGUGGUGCUAAUACCGAAUGUGGUAUCUUGAUCGCAUGAUUGAGAUAAGAAAGAUGGCCUCUACAUGUAAGCUAUCGAUUAGAGAUGGGUCUGCGUCUGAUUAGCUAGUUGGUGAGGUAACGGCUCACCAAGGCAACGAUCAGUAGCCGGUCUGAGAGGAUGAACGGCCACACUGGGACUGAGACACGGCCCAGACUCCUACGGGAGGCAGCAGUGGGGAAUCUUCCGCAAUGGACGAAAGUCUGACGGAGCAACGCCGCGUGAGUGAAGAAGGUCUUCGGAUUGUAAAGCUCUGUCGUUUGGGACGAACGUAUCCUGUGUGAAUAAUGCGGGGUAAUGACGGUACCAAAGGAGGAAGCCACGGCUAACUACGUGCCAGCCGCCGCCGUAACAC